AGAGUUUGAUCCUGGCUCAGGACGAACGCUGGCGGCGCGCCUAACACAUGCAAGUCGAACGAGAGAUGAGGAGCUUGCUCUUCAAAUCGAGUGGCGAACGGGUGAGUAACGCGUGAGGAACCUGCCUCAAAGAGGGGGACAACAGUUGGAAACGACUGCUAAUACCGCAUAAGCCCACGGCUCGGCAUCGAGCAGAGGGAAAAGGAGCAAUCCGCUUUGAGAUGGCCUCGCGUCCGAUUAGCUAGUUGGUGAGGUAACGGCCCACCAAGGCGACGAUCGGUAGCCGGACUGAGAGGUUGAACGGCCACAUUGGGACUGAGACACGGCCCAGACUCCUACGGGAGGCAGCAGUGGGGAAUAUUGCACAAUGGGGGAAACCCUGAUGCAGCGACGCCGCGUGGAGGAAGAAGGUCUUCGGAUUGUAAACUCCUGUUGUUGAGGAAGAUAAUGACGGUACUCAACAAGGAAGUGACGGCUAACUACGUGCCAGCAGCCGCGGUAAAACGUAGGUCACAAGCGUUGUCCGGAAUUACUGGGUGUAAAGGGAGCGCAGGCGGGAAGACAAGUUGGAAGUGAAAUCUAUGGGCUCAACCCAUAAACUGCUUUCAAAACUGUUUUUCUUGAGUAGUGCAGAGGUAGGCGGAAUUCCCGGUGUAGCGGUGGAAUGCGUAGAUAUCGGGAGGAACACCAGUGGCGAAGGCGGCCUACUGGGCACCAACUGACGCUGAGGCUCGAAAGUGUGGGUAGCAAACAGGAUUAGAUACCCUGGUAGUCCACACCGUAAACGAUGAUUACUAGGUGUUGGAGGAUUGACCCCUUCAGUGCCGCAGUUAACACAAUAAGUAAUCCACCUGGGGAGUACGACCGCAAGGUUGAAACUCAAAGGAAUUGACGGGGGCCCGCACAAGCAGUGGAGUAUGUGGUUUAAUUCGACGCAACGCGAAGAACCUUACCAAGUCUUGACAUCCCUUGACGAACAUAGAAAUAUGUUUUCUCUUCGGAGCAAGGAGACAGGUGGUGCAUGGUUGUCGUCAGCUCGUGUCGUGAGAUGUUGGGUUAAGU
rnacentral:rRNA from 1 species